UACGUAGGGGGCUAGCGUUGUUCGGAAUUACCGGGCGUAAAGCGCACGUAGGCGGCUUUGUAAGUUAGAGGUGAAAGCCCGGGGCUCAACCCCGGAAUAGCCUUUAAGACUGCAUCGCUUGAACACGGGAGAGGUGAGUGGAAUUCCGAGUGUAGAGGUGAAAUUCGUAGAUAUUCGGAAGAACACCAGUGGCGAAGGCGGCUCACUGGACCGUUGUUGACGCUGAGGUGCGAAAGCGUGGGGAGCAAACAGG
rnacentral:rRNA from 1 species